UGAGUAACACGUGGUCAAUCUGCCCUGCACGCUGGGAAAGCGCUGGAAACGGGGUCUAAUACAUGAUAUGAUCCUCCUCCGCAUGGUGGAGGCUGCAAAGCUCCGGCGGUGCAGGAUGAGCCCGCGGCCUAUCAGCUUGUUGGUGAGGUAACGGCUCACCAAGGCGACGACGGGUAGCCGGCCUGAGAGGGCGACCGGCCACUGUGGGACUGACACACGGCCCACACUCCUACGGGAGGCAGCAGGGGGGAAUAUUGCACAGUGGGAAAAAGCCUGAUGCAGCCACCCCGCGUGAGGGAUGACGGCCUUCGGGUUGUAAACCUCUUUCAGCAGGAAAGAAGCGAAAGUGACGGUCCCUGCAAAAGAAGCGCCGGCUAACUACGUGCCAGCAGCCGCGGUAAUACGUAGGGCGCAAGCGUUGUCCGGAAUUAUUGGGCGUAAAGAGCUCGUAGGCGGCUUGUCACGUCGGUUGAGAAAGCCCGGGUCUUAACCCCGGGUCUGCAGUCUAUACGGGCAGGAUAGAGUUCGGUAGGAGAGAUCAAUAUUCCUGGUGUAGCGGAGAAAUGCGCAUAUAUCAGGAAGAACACCGGUGGAGAAGGCGGAUCUCUGGGCAUAUACUGACUCUGAAGAGAGAAAGCGUGGGGAGCAAACAAGAUUAUAUACCCUGGUAGCCCACG
rnacentral:rRNA from 1 species